rnacentral:rRNA from 1 species
GACGAACGCUGGCGGCGUGCCUAAUACAUGCAAGUAGAACGCUGAAGGAGGAGCUUGCUUCUCUGGAUGAGUUGCGAACGGGUGAGUAACGCGUAGGUAACCUGCCUGGUAGCGGGGGAUAACUAUUGGAAACGAUAGCUAAUACCGCAUAAUAGUAGAUGUUGCAUGACAUUUGCUUAAAAGGUGCAAUUGCAUCACUACCAGAUGGACCUGCGUUGGAUUAGCUAGUUGGUGGGGUAACGGCUCACCAAGGCGACGAUACAUAGCCGAACUGAGAGGGGGAUCGGCCACACUGGGACUGAGACACGGCCCAGACUCCUACGGGAGGCAGCAGUAGGGAAUCUUCGGCAAUGGACGGAAGUCUGACCGAGCAACGCCGCGUGAGUGAAGAAGGUUUUCGGAUCGUAAAGCUCUGUUGUAAGAGAAGAACGAGUGUGAGAGUGGAAAGUUCACACUGUGACGGUAUCUUACCAGAAAGGGACGGCUAACUACGUG